rfam:Myotis brandtii contig245075, whole genome shotgun sequence.
GGCCUACCUCUUUGGGGCGAUUGAUCGUGGAGCCCCGCGAUCAAUUGCCCCAUAGAGGGAGGCC